ACGUCUCCCUUGUAAUACUAUGGAUGGCCGCUUGGUGGUGACCUUCUCUUGUUCAAACUUUUAAAGUCACGUCUGGGGGGACAAGACCAUUUUCUACAUACAUCACACAUUCACCUAUAUUGGGCACACGAUUUUAAUCUCGGAUUAUUAUUGAUUAUCUCUUAUUUUGAAAAGAACGCUAGCAAGCUAGGUGGCUGCGGACUGGCUAAGUAACAGUAUUCCAUCAAUGAUACCUCCGAAUAGCGGGCGGGAGGUGGGGCCGUGGCCCAUUUCACUUCCUUAAUCCAUGAACUCCAUCACGAAACGGAGGGACGACGGUGGAAACGUUUCUCAAGUUUUUCUUUGGGAUAUAUUUAUUUAAUUGAAACGACUUUUGGUGACCAUGGCUGCUCUUUCAGCCUGGUUUUGGAACGAGAGAUUUUGGCUCCCACAUAAUGUGACUUGGGUGGACCUUGCAGACCCAGCGCCCGGGGUGGAGUAUCCUAAAGCCAGUCACUUGCUCUCUGCUUUACCGCUGGCUUUGGGGAUCUUUGCGGUCAGAAUACUAUUUGAGAGGUUCAUAGCCAGACCAUGUGCCUUCCUCUUGCAUAUCCACGCGACCUCAGUCCACUGGCGAGCCACACCCAACCCUGUCCUGGAGAAGGUGUUUACAUCCAUCACAAAGUGCCCAGACUGGCGACACCUGGAUGGCUUAUCUAAGCAGUUGGACUGGGAUGUGAGGAAGGUUCAGCAAUGGUUCAGACACAGACGCAACCAGGACAAACCCAGCGUACUCACCAAGUUCUGUGAGAGCAUGUGGAGGUCUACAUUUUAUCUGUGCAUAUUUACCUAUGGCAUUCGUUUUCUAUGGCAGUGCCCAUGGAUGUGGGAUACACCCCACUGCUGGUACAACUACCCCUACCAGGUCCUGACCCCAGGCCUGUACCACUACUAUGUGACUGAGCUGGGCUUCUACUGGUCCCUCAUGUUCUCUCAGUUUACUGACAUCAAACGCAAGGACUUUCCCAUCAUGUUCAUCCAUCACCUAGCAACAGUGAGCCUGAUCAGUUUCUCCUACGCUAACAACAUGCUACGUGUCGGGAGCCUGGUGAUGUGUGUCCACGAUGCAUCAGACUUCAUACUGGAGGCAGCCAAGCUGGCCAACUACGCCAAGUACCAGCGCUUGUGUGACUUCCUGUUUGUUCUGUUUGCAGUAGUCUUCUUCAUCACACGGCUCGUCAUCUACCCUCUACGGAUCCUGAACACAACGUUGUUUGAGAGCUGGGAGAUCAUUGGUCCAUACCCUUCCUGGUGGCUCUUCAACUCCCUACUGCUGGUGCUACAGGUGCUGCACGUCAUCUGGUCCUACCUCAUAGCCGGGAUCGCCUACAAAGCCUUGGUUCGUGGAAAGGUGUCUAAGGAUGACCGCAGUGACGUGGAGAGCAGCUCGGAGGAGGAGGCUGACACCAACAGAACCAAUGACAGGGGGGUUAAAAUGGCUUUCUCUCUUAAGGCAGAGAACGGCACCAAUGGCACCAACGGCCACGCCGUCACCACUAAAAGCUGGCCACAGAUACGCACCAGCAGCAGGUGACAGAGGAGCCUGCCGUCUGAUUCACACUAUAGGGCCGAGCCAGGUCAAAUAUGUCUGCCGUGGUUACACUGCGCAUCCACUAUUUGUCAGAACUGUGCUGGAAAGGACAAUAUCAGAGCCAGUACUGUUCGGGUCGGCCCUAUAGUGAGAAUUAGGCAUAUCUGUGCGGCCUUUCCACUACUAGUUCAUCCUAUCCUAGAUUACAUCUUGAACGCGCUUUUCCGAGCCUCAUCCAGUUCCCUGGACGGUUUAACUUAAGUUUCUUCAUUCAUCUAACUCUUAAUUAAAAUGUCUUCUUCAGAACUAACAAUGAUCGAUGACUAUGACAGUAUACGAUGGAUGAAUAGACACACUACUGUGACCCAUAGAAUCAAAACUGAUGAAAUGAAGAGAGAAAAAAUAAGUGCAUUCCCUGAUGUCAAGUGAAUGGGUCUGAAGAUAUUUGCGGUACCUUAUGAACAUAAACAAAUGGAAUACAAGCUAAUGUUCUAAUGUGAUGCUGCAGUUUGCCUGAGAUUCUCUUCUGUCCGUUUUAUUGGUCCGGUGGACUUGAGUUACUACGGUGUAUUUUAAGAAGUAAUUGUUCAGUUACUUUGUUUCUGGUCAGUUCUGUUCACUGUUUCUAUCUUAUUAAUAUGAGACCAAUGUUUAUUGAAUGUUUAACGUUUUUUUAAAUGUCUUUGGUAUAAAAAAAAAAAUGCAUAUGAAUUUAAAAGAGAAGAAGCCAACAGAAUCCUAUUCAGUAGCGAUCAUCCAUAGAUGUGGUGUGUAUUAGGGCUAAUAAUGUGAGUGUUGAGUACAGAGACAAAAAUAGAUGUUUAUUUGUGUAAGAUGUUUUUAUUUAUAUUACCGGUUGGUACAUAACCUUGAAGAUCCCACCACACAAACUAUGAUUCAGUGUGAUCUGAGCAAGUUAUGAUAAGAGACUGAUUGGACAUUUAGUUUAAGCUGGAAGGAGUCAAACCAUUUUUCAGUCAACUCCAGUCCUCUGCCCCUUCUCCUUUUAGCAGACAAAUUAUGAACUUGACAGUAAAUGAAGAGUAGAUUCUCCUUUACUCAUCUGGGCACACAAAACUUCCACACCCAAAUAGUUAUCACAUAAAAGUCCCAUGGGAGGAACAGAAAUGUCCAUGAUUUUGUGGACAAACUAUUCAGUUCCAGUCCUCUAUGGCUUGAGGACCUCCACGUCUUGGUUUUCUGCCGCUACCUGCAGCUCUUUUUGCUUGUUCAUGUAGCGGUAUCCCCGCAUGGUGCACAGGUAUCCCCCGUAGAGUGUCAACAGCAUCAUCGAGGCAGAAAACCCCCGGUAUCCGAAGUCGGCGAGUCGCUUUGCGGUGGUCAACAUGAUGAUGGUGUUCCUGAGGAAGUUAUAUCCAGCAACGACAAGUUGUAGUACAACUAAGGGUAGCUACAUACAUCUCAUUGUUUACUCGUGUUUAACAAUGUGGUUCACAGAUAACAAAAUGUCAACAUAUCAACAAAAAAAGUAUAACAUCGGAUGUUAGUCAAAUUCAGGGUAUCUGAUGUAAUUUAGCUAGGUUAGCUAGCUAUCAAGGUUAGCAAGCUUUUAACAACACAUUGAAUAAAAAUUGAUUUUUUUUUCCAGUUUCAAAUUACUGCUAUGUAAAUUGCAUUGUCACUUACCUUGUAAAAUAUGACCGUCAGAUUAUUGAUACCCUUCUCAAUGUCAACACACCUGGCUAGCUAACUUCUUCCGUAACUGAAAACAACGGAGUCUUGUGAGGGUCAAAAGUCGUUCGGUUCUUGAGUAAUCAGCAGUGGGAGGAGCGGUAUAGAAGUUCUGUAGAAUUUUCCUAGGUCGGACGUAUUUUGAUGCUGCACACGUGGGAACAACGAUGGCCACAUGUGGAGCAGAGAGUGAAGUUCUGGAUGAAAAAAAUUAUCCCGGUGCAGCACCUUACGGCAAUUUUAUAAACUAUUACACAUUCAACCCACCAGAGAACCGUUUAAGCCUCAUUCCGACCACACUUAUUCAGGAUUUGGGGUAUGGCAAGGACAGCAGUGAAACCAUAUUGAUGCUGGAUGUCGGUUGCAAUUCAGGGGACCUGACAGUGGCAUUGUACAGACACCUUCAACAGAGAGUCUUGUCUGAAGACUCUAUAACACCACCUGACACUGAUCUCCAACUCCUCGGCUUCGACCUGGACGAAACCUUGAUCCUCCGGGCCCAACAGGCCAACCCUUUCCCCCAGAGCAUCUCUUUCAUUCCCUUAGACAUCACUGAGGAUGCUGCUAGCCAGACCCAGCUACAGGACUACCUGAGACAACAUGGCAGCUUCCGCUUCCACCUCUCGCUGUGCCUGGCUGUUACCAUGUGGGUCCACCUGAACCACGGAGACGCUGCCCUGCUGGGGCUCCUCUCCCGGCUGGCCUCCGUCAGCCAACAUCUCCUCCUGGAGGCCCAGCCCUGGAAGUGCUACCGUUCGGCUGCACGGAGGCUGAGGAAGCUAGGGCGGUCUGACUUUGACCACUUCAAGGAGUUAAAGAUUAGAGGAGAUGUGGCAGAACAAGCCAGGGAACACUUAGAGAAACACUGUGGGAUGGCACUGAUGCAGUGUUUCGGUAGUACCAGCUGGGAUCGUAGACUGCUCCUCUUUAGGAGAAGAGAGACGGUUGACCUACAUUUAUCCCAGUAGAUAUGUUAUGAUUGUCUUAAAGGAGUAAUCUGAAAACAUUUGAACAUUGUCUUCCUUGACAAUGAAGUGACAAGGUCCUAAGGAAAUAUGUAUGUGUGCAGAGAAGGAACUCCAAGUUCCUUAGCCUCCUUCACAGCCAGCUCAAGUUCUUUAAGUGCAGUGAAGGACCAGUAUGUUGUUUGCACACUAGGAGGCAAUAAUACUCUGUUACUACUUGUAUUGCCACCAUACCUAGUCUAUGCUUUCAGCUAUGCAUUUAACUGAUCUUACUCGAUUUUCUUCUUAAUAGUGUAUAUGUUUUGGCAAACAAUUAUGAAUGAACUGUGUGUGUGUAUGAGAAAUGAAUUUAAUAUUUAUUUUUGGGGAUGUUUAAAAAUAAGAAUGAAUAAAGCCCUUGAAUUUA